rnacentral:lncRNA from 1 species
CUAAGGGUUUCUUUUGGAGAAAAUAUGAGAACACAAGCUCCAUUUUUCUCUUUAAGAGGCCAGCCACCCUAGGAAGGUUUUACUAGCAUCUAAAUCUUCUUAGGUCACUCAUCUCUUCUUCUAGUUUCUCCUUGGUGUGGAGACUUAGAGGUUCUCUAUUUUGGGAACUUAGAGAAUCCAUUUUACCAUCCUCAUCCAAGAAAUCCAUGGAACUAAAAAGUAAGGAAUGAAGGCCCUAUCUCUUGGGUGAUUAGCCUUUGCUUAUGCAAAGACGAAUCAACAAAGGUAUAAUAUUUCUCAACUCACUUUGUUCUUGAGUUGAAUCUUAGUUCACCAUAACUACUAGGCUUUGAAUUUCACAGGUAAAAUUUUGUUUUUGAGUGCAUACAAGCAUGAUUCCGCCUUUAAUUGUUAAUUGCAUGUUGUAGAUGUUGCUUAAAUGAACUUGUUUUCACAUAUAUUUCCUUCACUAAGUACAACAAAGCGCAAAGUUGAACUCAGAUAUGGAAUUUCAGAUUCCAUAACCUCUUCAAUGAUCUCAUUUGCAUAUAGCGUAUGGAAGAUCAUAGGUAUACUCAAAAGUAACACUUUCAGGGUGUAGUUUGACUGGUAUACAAAUGUACUGUCAAAACAAUGCUUCAACUUCAGGUCAAGGCAUAAACAAGUUUUCCCAAGAUCCUUCAUCUCAAAUUCCAUCUUCAGGUGCAAGAUAGUUUUCUCAAGUUUUCCUAAAGUUUUAGUGAGAUUCAUGUCAACGACAUAAACUAUAACUCUAGCAAUUCAGAAUAAGACUUCAUAGUUUAACACCGAGGGCAUUCAUUCAUAUCCUCAAAUAAUCACUUAGACAGAUAUACCAUAUCUGCCGGAUUGAUUCAAUCCAUAAGUGAACGCCUCAAACGAGUUGAGAAGGUGUUCCGUGGUUUGGAACUAUUUAAGCCAGUUUAUGUAAUUCUUUAGGAACUAACAUGUAAAUCUUCGUAUCAAUAUCCCCAUAGAGAAAUACUAAGCACAUUCGUAAUGCUGCUAUCAAUCAUAAGACGUUUGAGAGAAACCUUGCACCGUAAGGCGUGCAUCAUAUCGUACUAUUUCAUUCAUCUCAUUACGCUUCCUUUCUCACUUGUAACACAACAAAGUUACCUUAGGCAGUGUAGGAACAAUAGUUCAAAACACACUUUUGUAAGGAAUUUAACCUAGAUUGUAAUUUUGGUUGUCCAAUCAAUUCUAUGUUGUUAUUAAUGAACGGAACACUAUUUGAUAUCGCCAAUUUUCAUUUAAGUCGGUAGCUACCAUAUAAGUGAAAACAAUAUCGAUGAUAAUCUCAUUCUAAUUUCAUUAUCUCAUCCAAACUAGUAUACUAGACCAAGAACUUCAAGUCUCAGGAGUAAUCCAGAUUAAUCUCAUGAGAUGGAAAUGAUUUGAGAUAGCGAUCGAGUAUGGAUUCAUGUCAUUAUAUGAAUCCUAUGAACCGAGUGAUUGUCAUGCUCAAGCCAAGAUAGAUUGAUUAGUUAUCCGCCAGUGUACCAAACUAUCCAACAAGGGCGUCCAAAUCAUCCAACAGGGGUAACACACCCUUUAGGGAUGUUAACUCGACGUCCGUUAAAUACGUCUAUCCUUGCAGGCUUGUUUACAGCUGGUAUAUGAUCUCGUCACUUUAGUUAUAUCAGAGGAAUGCGUUUGGUGCAACAUUUUGAAAGCUAGAAUUCAUUGCACUUACUUAUCACACUUGUGCGAUACGGGGAUCGAGAUGAGACAUAAUGGGUAACGUUUACGCAAAUUCGCGCCAUUUUACAAGAACGUUGACAUUCUUAUCUCCCCUUAACGGUGGGAAGACUGUCUUAUUUAAGUGACAAUCCACAAAUAAGCAGUAAAAAGAUCGCAUGCAAGGCUCUAAGAGAGCUAGUGUGAAGGAGAAUCAUAAUCGACAAAGAUUUCACAUCCUUCUUUGAGGACCCAUAUUGGUACGUUGCGGUGGCGCAACAUGGCACAUGGAAUACACACCCAAAUGCAUAAAUACAAAACAUCAGGUUCGUACCCAAUAACCAAUUGUAACAUCGAAUAGGUUGGGUGGCAAUGGACCUCAAGACGGACCAACAUAGCUGCGUACAAGAUUGCAUAGCCCUAAGCAGAAACCGAAAACUUGGUACGUUCACCAAGGUCCGGGUGAUCAUUUCAAUUGCACUUUAUGAUCACUAUGCGAGGCUAUUUGGAGUGAACAUGGGAAUUCGAUGUUCAAUUAUAGACCCAAAAGACAUGCAAUACUUAUUGAAAACCGUCGAUAUAAACUCUCAGGCAUUAUCCAAUCUUCCAAACUUUAUGGGAUAAGUAGGGUGGUGAACCUUUAAAUUGGCCAGGAGGUUUAGUAGCAAUGUGUGUGGAUGAACAUGUGACCAGUUUGUCGAUUCAUCAACCAAAACCAUAAAUAUUUAUAUGGUCCGCAUUUUGGUUGGAUUAGUCCACAUAUAUGCCCUUGAAUCCACUGUGAAAAGAUGGUGCUUUUGUAUCUUUGCGAGGGAUGAUUUAGAAAAUCAAUUUCCCUAAUAAGCAAGCUGGGCAAAGUGUGCUUGUAGGCACAAGAUCCUUACUUCGGGGGGUAAGGAAAUGCGUUAUAGCAUCAUUAUUCGACCUCAAUGUCCCAAAACGGUCGUGCCAAGGCAUGUAAACUACUCAAUCACUAGGCUCCAGGUCGACCACAUGUGGCGUGUUCCCAGUUAGGAGGCAGCCUAUUAACCACAAAUCAAAGUUUCAGGCUCAUUUUUGGAGGUGGUGAAAAGAUAUUCCAGUCUAUUUUCUUUAGUUGUUUCAUUAUUAUCAUUGUUCUCUCGAAUAUCCUUAAAACUCAACAAUGUUCUUCCAAAACAGGGAGAAUAUAAGGUCUUAAUUAGGUUGGAUAAACCUGAAGUCAUUGCUAAAGAUGUGAUUUAGGCAUAAAGUUAGUGUGUGUAGUAUCGCAUUCAUCCAGACAACUAACAUUCCCACAUUCGUACCUAAUCACAUGUUUAAUUGAAUUCGGUCACAUAUAUACAAGAAACAUGAUUCAAUUAACUCAUAUUGGAUGACAAUAUCAAUAAGAUUAUCCAUAACUAAAACAUACACCAAACUUGAAUCCAAGAACAUGGAAAAGUGUUCACAAAGUAAAUGGUUUACUAAGGAGAUUCGGCCUACAAGGCUAUCCAUGUCAAAAUUCUGCUCUUCCAACAAUGUUCGGUGGAGCAAAAUUAGUUUCACGCAUUGACUACUAGAAUGAUACUCAUCAACGACAUUGGUAGAGGCAAGAACAGAUGCAUAACCAAUGAUCCAUUCCAUCAAGACGGAAGUAGAUUCUGCAGGGUUAAGGUUUGGAAAUAUUAUCCCUUAGUCUUGAAGUUUUAGGUCUUAGGUGGAUCACGCUUUGGGCAUAAUGUCAUACCUUGGCAGACCUUGAUUCUACCAUAUGUUGUAAAAACAAACUCGAAAUUAAAUUGUGAAAUAGACAGA